GCAUAUCAAAUAAGCGGAGGAAAAGAAACCAACAGGGAUUGCCUUAGUAGCGGCGAGUGAAGCGGCAAAAGCUCAAAUUUGAAAUCUGGCACUUUCAGUGUCCGAGUUGUAAUUUGAAGAAGGUAUCUUUGGGUCUGGCUCUUGUCUAUGUUUCUUGGAACAGAACGUCACAGAGGGUGAGAAUCCCGUGCGAUGAGAUGUCCCAGACCUAUGUAAAGUUCCUUCGAAGAGUCGAGUUGUUUGGGAAUGCAGCUCUAAGUGGGUGGUAAAUUCCAUCUAAAGCUAAAUAUUGGCGAGAGACCGAUAGCGAACAAGUACAGUGAUGGAAAGAUGAAAAGAACUUUGAAAAGAGAGUGAAAAAGUACGUGAAAUUGUUGAAAGGGAAGGGCUUGAGAUCAGACUUGGUAUUUUGUAUGUUACUCUCUCGGGGGUGGCCUCUACAGUUUACCGGGCCAGCAUCAGUUUGAGCGGUAGGAUAAGUGCAAAGAAAUGUGGCACUGCUUCGGUAGUGUGUUAUAGUCUUUGUCGAUACUGCCAGCUUAGACUGAGGACUGCGGCUUCGGCCUAGGAUGUUGGCAUAAUGAUCUUAAGUCGCCCGUCUUGAAA
rnacentral:rRNA from 1 species